AACAAACGCUGGCGGCGUGCCUAAUACAUGCAAGUCGAACGGGGAAAGCUUUCGGGUGAGUACUAGUGGCGCACGGGUGAGUAACGCGUGGAUAAUCUGCCUUAGAGUGGGGGAUAACUAGUCGAAAGAUUAGCUAAUACCGCAUAAGACCACAAGAACUGCGGUUCAAGAGGUCAAAGGUUUUUCGCUCUAAGAUGAGUCCGCGUAAGAUUAGCUAGUUGGUGAGGUAACGGCUCACCAAGGCGACGAUCUUUAACUGGUCUGAGAGGAUGAUCAGUCACACUGGAACUGAGACACGGUCCAGACUCCUACGGGAGGCAGCAGUGGGGAAUCUUGCGCAAUGGGCGAAAGCCUGACGCAGCAACGCCGCGUGGAGGAUCAAGGCCCUUGGGUUGUAAACUCCUGUCGGCUGGGAAGAAAUCGUACGGUGCUCAUACCACCGUGCGUUGACUGUACCAGCAAAGGAAGCCCCGGCUAACU
rnacentral:rRNA from 1 species